AGAAGACAGCCAUGUACAAGUGAGGAGGAGAGCCCUCACCAGACAGUGGGUCUGCCAGCACCCUGAUCUUGGACUUCCCAGGCUUCAGAGCUGCAAAACGAGGCACUUAUGUCUUGGAGUGGGGUAGAGACACAUGCAUUUGCAGUCCCUGAGCGUUCCCAGAAGUCACCUCCUGACAUAAUAAAUCUCCCAUUAACGAGCCUCCUGCCCUUCAGGGAUGAAUUGCAGAGCUCUGCAAAGCCCAAAGCCAGCACACCUGUCCCAGAACCUCAAGAAACUGGAGUUUAAUUUACAGUUAAAGUCAAAGAAAAAUGAAAAAGAACCCAACUCCAAUGUAGCAGCAGCAGCAACCACAAAUCUUCCUUUUUUCUCUCUGUGCACAUCUUACCUUCAUACAGCCAGUCACUGAGGCCAUUGUAAAUCACACCUUCCUUGCCAGUGGAGACCACACGGAUGGCCUGUUUCCCGACAUGUGCACAGUAGUAGAUAUUGUUUUCAAAAAUAAAUAUCUAAUUUGGAAAGAGAAAAAAGCAUAAUAUUAAGCAAGGAAGUGGUUAUAAAUAGGCUGUUCUUAAAAAAUCUGAAAUCAUCAACCGGGUUUUCAUUUUCCUGUUGUAUUUAUUAGACAGAACAAAGGCAGUCUCAAAAUUCUUGGAGGUCUACCCACCUCGAACAGAAUAUACCUGUAAGGAUUAAUCAGAGGCUGAAAUUCCACAUUCUUCACCCAAUGUUAUCACUUACCAUGACUGGACAAUUUGUGGUCUGAUACUUCUAGCUACUUAAAAUCUGAUAUGGUUUGGAUUUGUGUCCCCGUCCAAAUCUCAUGUCAAAUUGUAAUCUCCAAUGUUGGAGGCUGAGCCUGGUAGGAGGUGACUGGAUCAUGGGGCUAGAUUUCUCCCUUGCUGUUCUCAUGAUAGUGAGGGAGUUCUCACAAGAUUUGGCUGUUUAAAAGUGUGUAGCCCUCCCCCUGUGCUCUCUUCCUCCUCCUCCAGCCAUGUAAGUUGUGCCUGCUUCCCUUCACCUUCCACCAUGAUUGAAAGUUUCCUGAGGCCUCCCCAACCAUGCUUUCUAUGUAGCCUGCAGAAUCAUGAGUCAAUUAAAC
rnacentral:lncRNA from 10 species